AGUGAACGCUGGCGGUAGGCCUAACACAUGCAAGUCGAACGGCAGCACAGUAAGAGCUUGCUCUUACGGGUGGCGAGUGGCGGACGGGUGAGGAAUACAUCGGAAUCUACUUUUUCGUGGGGGCUAACGUAGGGAAACUUACGCUAAUACCGCAUACGACCUACGGGUGAAAGCAGGGGAUCUUCGGACCUUGCGCGAUUGAAUGAGCCGAUCACGGAUUAGCUAGUUGGCGGGGGAAAGGCCCACCAAGGCGACGAUCCGUAGCUGGUCUGAGAGGAUGAUCAGCCACACUGGAACUGAGACACGGUCCAGACUCCUACGGGAGGCCGCGGUGGGGAAUAUUGGACGAUGGGCGCGAGCCUGAUCCAGCCAUACCGCGUGGGUGAAGAAGGCCUUCGGGUUGUAAAGCCCUUUUGUUGGGAAAGAAAAGCAGCAGGUUAAUACCCCGCUGUUCUGACGGUACCCAAAGAAUAAGCACCGGCUAACUUCGUG
rnacentral:rRNA from 1 species